GUACGGCGAGUGAAGCGGCAAAAGCUCAAAUUUGAAAUCUGGUACCUUCGGUGCCCGAGUUGUAAUUUGGAGAGGGCAACUUUGGGGCCGUUCCUUGUCUAUGUUCCUUGGAACAGGACGUCAUAGAGGGUGAGAAUCCCGUGUGGCGAGGAGUGCGGUUCUUUGUAAAGUGCCUUCGAAGAGUCGAGUUGUUUGGGAAUGCAGCUCUAAGUGGGUGGUAAAUUCCAUCUAAAGCUAAAUAUUGGCGAGAGACCGAUAGCGAACAAGUACAGUGAUGGAAAGAUGAAAAGAACUUUGAAAAGAGAGUGAAAAAGUACGUGAAAUUGUUGAAAGGGAAGGGCAUUUGAUCAGACAUGGUGUUUUGUGCCCUCUGCUCCUUGUGGGUAGGGGAAUCUCGCAUUUCACUGGGCCAGCAUCAGUUUUGGUGGCAGGAUAAAUCCAUAGGAAUGUAGCUUGCCUCGGUAAGUAUUAUAGCCUGUGGGAAUACUGCCAGCUGGGACUGAGGACUGCGACGUAAGUCAAGGAUGCUGGCAUAAUGGUUAUAUGCCGCCCGUCUUGA
rnacentral:rRNA from 1 species